GUUUCUUACAGUCUAUGGAAUACCUCACUUUGCUCUCACUCAGAUAUAUUAUCUGAGAUUUUGGUGUGUCUACAAAUGAUAGAAGGCUUCCCUAUUUAUUGAGAUGAAAUGAACCUAUUGAUGUCAUUUGUGACUCAAGCAAGCACUUGACAAUUUGCCAAAUACAAGGAAGAUGUUUUCUUCCUUAAAACAAGGAAUAUGUUUUCUUCUUCAAAACAAGGGAAAUAUUUUCUUCCUUGUUUUCUUCCUUAAAAUGAGGGAGAUGUUUCCUUCUUCAAAUUAUGGGAUGGACCCAACAUUGGCGAGAGAAGCAAUAAGUAUCAUUUUUCAUUUUCACCUUUCUAAUUCUCUCGGCUUCAUCUUCUUCUCCACUUCUUCCUUUCUUUCUGCAUGUAAGAAUCAAGAACUUCUUCUUCUCUAAAUAGAUUUUUAAUCUAAAUUGGCCCAGUAUCAAUAUUAUUUUAAACACAUACAACUUCCGGCAAAAUAUGCCUACUCAAAACGAACUCAUCGACAUAAUCAAUGGAGGUUGAAAGUUUGAAUCGUACAACUAUAGCAUGUACCAGAUCGCGAGCAUCCAGACACCUCAUUCAUGGUUGAAUUAUUCAAGAUAAGAAGGUAGAUAAUAAUUGUUUUAAAAAAUAUUCAGAGAACCAUUGGUAUUAAUGUUCCUUUUGGGUUAUAUAAUGGCUAUAAUUUUCUUUUUUACUUUUAAAUUUUCAUUAUCAAAAUAGUGUAGUACUUACAAAUUCUAAAAGUUUCUUCAGGGAUUUCUAGUAUGAUUUCACAACAUUCCUGGAUUUGUUGAGCUGAUCAUGUUAGUUCACGUUCACUAAAUGAACGUGUGAAAAAGUGGUCCUUCAUUAUUGGACCAGUUGAAACUCCCAUUAUCUGAAACUACCCUAAGGAAAUUGCUGCCCUAAAAACUGUUCUAUUAACUGUUCUUGAUGGUAGAACAGUAUAAAAGAUACAACAAACGGAUUGGGUCCCUAAGCACAAUUUUUUCUUUUAAAUCCACACCAUCUAAUAGUGAGGUUGAGUGCUUAUGAGACUCACAGGAUUGGAAAACUGAUGCCGACGACGCUACCGACUUCAACCACGACCCCGUAACAAUGGCCGGAGGUGUAGAUGCAUGAGGAAUGCAGAGUAAAAAUCAGAACCCGUAGUGAAAUCUUCCAUCAACUACAAAUAUAAUUAAAUACAUAUGGGUCUUUCACAAGCACGGGCCUUGGAGGCGCAAGAGGAACUCAGAAAUUAUAAAGAGGACUAGGUGUUUGGAUUUUUAAAACAACUGCCUCAUAACAAAGGUUGUUGACUUCAUUCUGUGUGUAUCUUCUUUUAUUAUAUUAAUUUUUUUCAGUUUCGUCCUCAUGAAUAAUUUCAGAAACAAUUUUUUUAUUGUCUUGCAAGAAAAUAAAGAGAUUAGAGUGUAAAUCAUUAAAGAAUAAAAGAAAUACGAAAUAAAUUAUAAAAAAAAUAAAAAUAUUAGAGGUGCAAUAUGCAAAAACUAACCAAUUAGUUCGACUACCUUCCCUGUUGAGCCAUUUAAAAGCUUUCAUUUUUCUCCUGUGAAAAUUCUUUGUGCCUUUUAAACAAUUGGCACUGAAAUAUUGUCAUGUUGUGUUCAAAUUCGUUUGGCCAUGGGAAAAUUCGUCCUAUGCUAAAAAUUUUGGGGUUGUAUUUUUUACAUAUCAAAACUUCAAGGGUUAAGUGAAAUUUACACUAAUAAAAAAUAAAAAACUUUGUGUACAUCUCUAUGUCUGAGAAGAAGUCUAAGCUUUAAUGAUCUAUAUUUAAUUUUUAAUUCUCUAAAAAAUUAAUUCAACUGUCAUAGCUAUCAUAUUACUUGUUAGAUCAAGAAAAACGACGUGUCAACAAAUCUAAUUAAGUUGUUAUAUACACGACUUGGAGAAAAUAAUUGUAAUCUUUGCAGGUUGACGAUCCCCAAAAUGCAACUAUAUAAAGACUUUUCUUUUUGGUUCUUUAUCCAUCAAAAUUUCAAACCUUGCUAUUUCUAUACUUCAGAAUUAAAAAUAUUAUUCAGUGCUAGACUGCUAGUUCUCAAUUCUCAUUAGUGAUCAGAAAGAGAGAUAAAAGAUGGGUCUGAAUGGAAAAUUGAUUUCACAAACAGAGAUCAAGGGUGUGUAGGAAAAUGUUUUCCUAAAAAAUAAGUCAACUCAUGUUCGUUUGGGUAGUGGAAAAUAAGUAAUUUCUUACUUAUUUUCUCAUGUUCGUUUGGUUGAUAAAAAACAUUUUUCGGAAAAUACUCAUCCAAGCCUCACCAAUUUCAACCCAACCCCAUACCUCCAACCUCAUCCACACCCCACUCCCACCCACCCACCUACGCCCCCACCCCCCCUCCAAAAAAAAUUUCUUUUGAUUUUUUUUUUGUUUUUUGUUUUUUGUUUUUGGCAACCCCAGCCCAACCCUCACCAACUCCAACCCAACCCCAUACUCCCACCCCACUCCUACUCACCCACCCCUACGCCCUCACCCCUCUCCAUUUGUUUUUUGCACCCCCACCCCCAACCACUCCCGUAACCCAUACACCAUCCCCUCCCCCUCACCCUACCCCCUCCCCCCCGCCACAACAUUUUUUUUGAAGUUUUUAUUUUUUUUUCUAAAUUUUCUACACGACCACAUCCCCCAUCACCCCUCUCCCCCCUUGCGUGGAACCCAUACCACACCAACACCCCCUUCCCAACCCUAACAUAUUCUUUUUGAAGUUUUUUAUUGUCUUUGCGGGUUUCUCCACCCCCAGACACCCCCUACCCAAAAAAAAAAAAUCUUUUCACCACACACCCCAACGCCCCCCCCCCCCCCACCCUAAAAAUACCCCAUCACCCCUUCCAAAGGUUUUAAUUUUUAACCGCACAAACAUUCAAUUUUUAUAAUUAUCAACUUUUUUUCAAUUUUUUUGUUGGGGGUGGGGGUGCAAAAAACCAAAACAAAUGUCGAAAAAAAUAUUUUUUUGUCAAAACAUUUUUUUCAAAAAUAUUAAUUUUUUUU